rnacentral:rRNA from 1 species
UACAGAGGGGGCAAGCGUUAUUCGGAAUUAUUGGGCGUAAAGGGCGCGUAGGCGGCCUGGCAAGUGGAAGGUGAAAUCCCUCGGCUUAACCGAGGAACUGCCUCCCAAACUGCUUGGCUUGAGACCGGGAGAGGUGAGUGGAAUUCCCAGUGUAGCGGUGAAAUGCGCAGAUAUCAGGAGGAACACCAAUGGCGAAGGCAGCUCGCUGGGACGUGACUGACGCUGAGACGCGAAAGCGUGGGGAGCAAACAGG